GAUGAACGCUGGCGGCGUGCCUAAUACAUGCAAGUCGAGCGAACAGACGAGGAGCUUGCUCCUCUGACGUUAGCGGCGGACGGGUGAGUAACACGUGGAUAACCUACCUAUAAGACUGGGAUAACUUCGGGAAACCGGAGCUAAUACCGGAUAAUAUAUUGAACCGCAUGGUUCAAUAGUGAAAGACGGUUUUGCUGUCACUUAUAGAUGGAUCCGCGCCGCAUUAGCUAGUUGGUAAGGUAACGGCUUACCAAGGCAACGAUGCGUAGCCGACCUGAGAGGGUGGUCAGCCACACUAGAACUGAGACACGGUCCAGACUCCUACGGGAGGCAGCAGUAGGGAAUCUUCCGCAAUUGGCGAUAGCCUUACGGAGCAACGCCGCGUGAGUUAUGAAGGUCUUCGGAUCGUAAAACUCUGUUAUUAGGGAAGAACAAAUUUGUAAGUAACUAUGCACGUCUUGACGGUACCUAAUCAGAAAGCCACGGCUAACUACGUU
rnacentral:rRNA from 1 species